UACGUAGGGUGCAAGCGUUAAUCGGAAUUACUGGGCGUAAAGCGUGCGCAGGCGGUUUUGUAAGCCAGAUGUGAAAUCCCCGGGCUUAACCUGGGAAUGGCAUUUGGGACUGCAAGGCUUGAGUGCGGCAGAGGAGACUGGAAUUCCUGGUGUAGCAGUGAAAUGCGUAGAUAUCAGGAGGAACACCGAUGGCGAAGGCAGGUCUCUGGGCUGACACUGACGCUCAUGCACGAAAGCGUGGGGAGCAACAGG
rnacentral:rRNA from 1 species